rnacentral:snRNA from 1 species
GGCUACGAGGAUGAUCUGGCUGCAACAUCGGUCACCCCACUAAUUGUCAGGGUUGAUUUGAAUGAGCUGACUAUCUAGGUAAGUGUCAGCCAUCUUCCACCCUCACCACUCUAGCGUGUCCCUUCCAAAGUGUUGUGCUUAAUUAAAGAGGGCAACAUUCCCUGAGUAGAAAUGGACCUGUAGCCAGUCAAGGGAAUACUAGUAGCUGUAUUUUCUUUCCAGAACUCCCACAAAAGAUCGCAGAAUUAAAAUAUACAAGUUAAUGUUUGUUAACAUAAUUUUAUAAAAGCAAAUUUUAAAUUAUUAAGCUUAGUAU